ensembl:processed_transcript
GGAUGAGUCUCCGGGUGGGUCAGGAGCAAACCUCUCUGACCUGCGCUGGAAAAGACAAAAAUAAAGAUUCUGGAUGCUCUACUCCGCCUGACGCACCUCGCACAGCGCCCGCCGAGGAGGCGCUCGGAGGUAACAGCAGAGGGAGGCAGUGAAUCGCUGAGGACCAGCUCCCGGGUGACCGCGGUGCUCACCCCUCACGCCACGUCCUCGCGUGGAAAGUUUCAUCACGGUUCUUACAGCAACAGGAAACAGUUAUAACUCAAUGAAUUUUUAUUAUCUAUUUUUCACCACCCCAAUGGAUUUCUUUAUCCCUAGUUAUCUAUUUUCUAAUCAACUUUUUAUUUUCUGGAGUCUUAGACUAGCCUUGAACUCAAAAGAAUUACGCUCUCUGCCUCCUGAGUGCUGGGAUUUAAUGCCUGAGCCACCACACUCUGCCUCCUCUUAUCUUUGUGACAGGGCCACCCACACCUUGGCUGGCCUGUAACUUGCUCUGUAGACUAGACUGACCUCAAACUCCUGUCUCUGUCUCAUGGGUGUUGGGAUGAAAAGCAUGUGCCACCAUGACCAGCAAUCAAGGCAUUUAAAAAAUUAGUUGGUGGGGGCUGGAGAACUGGUUCAGGGCUUAAAACACUGACUGCAUUUGCAGAAUACCCUGGUUUGAUUCUCAGUACCCAUAUACUAGCCCCGUGUCUCCAAGGGUACCAGGCAUGCGUGGUGUUGCAGACACAUACAUGAAGACGAACACCCAUAGGCAUGAAUUGUCUUUUGUGUGGUCAACUGUAUAAUCCAGGAGAAGACAUGCGUUUCUUUCCUCGGUGAGCUUACAUUAUGCCUGAGAACUAUUUAAGGCGAGCUUCUUACAGUACAGGAAGGAGCUGCUUAUUAUUUUUGUGACCCGGGGCUUAGAUUAAGAAUCCCUACCGGCGUCCAGAAAGCCGUGUGGCUCCUUCCCUCUGCUCUCAUUCACAGCCUCUGACCCAGAUGCUGAGGGGGUUGACACACAGCGCUGUGUUCUAGAAAGUGCUGUGUUUGUCACUUUCUACUAUCUUCAGUUGUUGGAAGAGAAGCAAAAUCUCCUCCUCCACCCCUGUUUUUCUCAAAGAAGGCAUGCAAAUGAUUUGCAUUUGAUUUCUCCUAAAAUAUAAAAAGAACUCAACAUAGUGUGUUUGACUGCUUGUUUGUUUUGCUUUUUUGAGAUAGGGUCUUACUUUGUAGCCUUGGCUGGCUUGGAACUCAACUCAGUAGACCAGGCUGGCCCCAGACUCGCUGGCCUCUUCCUUCCUCUGCCUACACAUGGUGCUAGGAUUAAAAUCCUGCGCCACCACACCAGGCUCAGUAAAGUUUUAUAGCCUCUUAAAAAUUGUUUUUGUCAUACAGCUUGCUUUAAAAAGUUAUGGCUACUACAGAAGGAAUAGUGAGGUCACUUGUCCCCUCUCUGUGUCAUUCUUUAGAGGAAGUUUAAACCGAGACACUCACUUCUGAGUCCUUUCAGGCACCUUUUGGAGAAAAAGUAUUGAAUGACUUGAAAGCCAUCCCUUCCCCUCCUUUUGCCAGUUUGAAAAUUACCGGUUUAAAUGCACUGAGAAGACUUCCAGCAGCCAUGUUAGUGGCACAUGCCUGUCGUCCUAGCCCAGAAUUGUAAUCCAGAGCAGCCUGCCUAUCAUAAAGAACCAGAACAAACACGCAAAUAAAUGCAAAAUAACUCACAGGCAAAUACACAGAAAAUAACUCACACCACCCUCGAACUUGCAUCCCCUGUAGGUUCCUUUUUAAGAUUUUGUUGACUUGUUCUCUGAGAACCUGUUAUGGAAUCCAGACUGGCCGCUAACUGGCAGCGCAGCCAAAGGUUAACCUCGAGUUCCUGAUCCUCUUGCCUGGACCCAAGUGUUGAGAAUAUGAGCAUGUGCUACCAUGCCUGGAAGAAAUACCAAUUUUAAUAUAAAAUAUGAUUUUUAACUACUGACAAUCAAAUUGAAAUUUUAGAAAGUAUUCCAUAGUAAGCCUAUGUGCUGUCAUGCAUAUUGAUUAGUUAGUGAUUCUUGGUUUUUUUAAAGAUUUAUUUAUUUUAUGUAUAUGAGUACACUGUAGCUGUACAGAUGGUUGUGAGCCUUCAUGUGGUUGUUGGGAAUUGAAUUUUUUUAGGACCUCUGCUUGAUCCCGUCAACUCUGCUCGCUCAGUCCCAAAGAUUUAUUUAUUAUUAUAUAUACCUACACUGUAGCUGAUUUCAGACUCACCAGAAGAGGGCGUCAGAUCCCAUUACAGAUGGUUGUGAGCCACUAUGUGGUUUCUGGGAUUUGAACUCAGGAUAUCUGGAAGAGCAGUCAGUGCUCUUAACUGCUGAGCCAUCUUGCCAGCCCUAAUUAGUGAUUUUUAAAUAUUACAAAAACAUUCAUGCCAGAGGAAAGUAGUAACAAGUCUUCUAAAGGGCAAUUGUGGGACUGGAGACAUGGCCCUGAGUUAAGAGUGAGCUGCUGUUCCGGAGGACCUGAGUUCAGUUCCCUGAACUUCAGCACCUGUGUUAGAUGACAACUGCCUGUAACUUCUGUUCCAGGGGGUCCCACACUUUCUGGCCUCCAGGCUUCUGCACUCAGGCACACACAUCUUCCCUUACCCCCAUAGCUCAAAAUAAAAUUGUUUCUAAAAG